UGCAAGUAUAAUUACUGAUUGGUCUUAUACUCCCAGCUUGCAAUGAUGAUGUGUGAUGAGUUAGCCAGAAGAACACUGAAGCUACAGUUUAUCUUGCAAAGAGGACUUUUGAUGAUGUCUACGCGUACCCAAUGCGCGAGAAGCUUUAAGAGAGAGUUUAGGCAAAGAAUAAUUGUGUUGUACUGCUCAAACACUAAUGUUCUCUUUGUCUUCAAUUUUCCUAUCAAAGACAAAUGUCCUCCAUCUUUUAUAUCUCAAUUCUCUAUGAUCUCUGUUAAAUCAACA